GGCUUCUUUUUAGCUUUACUCUUUCUCAUGUAUCAUAGAUGAGCUGCAUUUAAGCUACAGCCAAGAGUACCUCCUUGCAGGUCCACGCACUGGAGAUAACGGAGGUCCUUGCUGUGAAGAAAGGGGAAUAGAGAUGCAAGGGAAUGAUGGAGCUGAAAAGAAGUACAAUAAGAGACUUUGGCAAACUUUUUUCACAGGACAAUGAUUCAUCAGUUUGCUCUCUUCUACUUAUGAAUCAUCUGGAAGUGGGCUUUGCCACAGUGUAUGCUCAAUCUAAAAGAUGAUGGCUGUACCACGACACACAAAGGACCCGAGAAAAGAUGAAACAAAGGUCACUCAUCUCUGGGCCCUGCAAACAGUGCAAGGCAAGAAACUCUUACCAUCCCGAAGGCCCGUUGUUGUGCACUCCACUGAUGAAUCAUCAAAUAUCCAGUGUGGAACCCUGCAGAUACCAGUAAGGUGUGCCAAUUAACAGAAUAAUGAUGUAGAUUGCUCUUAAUCAUAAUAGGCCAUUAAUUUUCUGGUAACUCAUAAUACAAAUAAGACGGUAGCUAUCCAAGCAUCCCAGUCACCUCAAUUUCACAUAGUAGUUUCCCUCCAAUGAUUUUCUUCCCCCUGAGAAACUGUCCUCAUGGAUUAUUGUAAAACCAUUUUUCUUGUCUUUCAUACCCCUUCUGCUUCCACUCAUUUGUACAGUCUUCUUCCCAGAUGCUUCUACUGAGAAUGUCAGUAGGAAAAAUACAGCACCAAUAAAGCCAGUGAGAGAAAGGCUGAAUAAUAAAACUAGGAGAUUUGAAGUUGGACAAAGGGUUGCUUUCUUCAGUUCCUCUUAAAAAAAAAAAAAAAAAA